GCAGCUGGCCUCCAGACUCGGCACCUUGCUGUGCCACCACCGCUGUGUGCCCUCAGUGGCAAGGGCGGUGGUGGCGGCUGGCACUGGGCUAAGUGACCACCUCCUGAACAUCACUCCCUUUCCUCCUCUCGACAACGUUUUGACGUGUGGACAUCAGCUGGCAACUGAGGAUGCAGAGAGCUUAACUACCUGAUGCAAGGGCGCGCGUCUCAUCGGUGGCAGAGCUGGCACUGGACACGUGGGCCGCUGCUCUGAAGCACAUGGCUUGGCAAGUUGCCAUUGACAGUCCUCCUUGUUGUCACACCACGAGAGGCUGGUCUCCCACCCCCAAAUCCUCAGAAUUACCCAGGCACUCAAACUAUCUCCAUGCCUGGGCCCACCCCAGACCCACUAAAGCAGCCUUUCUGGGACGUGGGCACCAGUAUGUUGCAGGCUUUGCAGGUGAUUGCUGUGCCUUGCCACGUUUGAGAAGCCUUGCUCUUCUAGUCCACCCCUCACAGAUCACUUUCCUCCCCGUGUGGUCUUCACUGCCCUGUCCAGUCCUCUCUCUCCUGGUAGAUCAGAGGAGCCUUCCUCUCCAGGGGCUUUCACCUCUGUCCCAUACCCCUGACUGCUUCCCGGGCUAGGACGCCCUGCCCACCAGGGGUCCCACACCCUCAUCCCCGGGUUGCACCCCUCUUCCUUGCCUUGAUACCCGUUCCUCUCUCUGGGUCAGAUCCCUUCCACCCCCAUUACACCUCCCACCACCACCGUCUUUCCAGGUGUUGUUAUGGGUUCCUACUUGGAAGAAUAAAGGCCAGAUGCCCAUUAUGCAGAA